rnacentral:lncRNA from 1 species
UCAACCUGGACCCCAAAAAAGAGCAGCCUACAGCUGACUAGAAACUUGGAGUCCAGCUUUUCUCGGCUAUGCCUAGCCUAGAUCAGCAGAAGCCCAGUCAACCUACACACAUCACUCUCCCAGAGGAAAGUCAACUGCCAUGUCAGGAGACCACUUAGACAAACUAUUGAUAGGUAAGGAGCUGAGGUCUCCCAGUCAGCCAGGGAGGAACUGAAGCCUGACAACAACUUUGUGACUGAGAUUGGAAGCAGGUGGAGCCUUUGAAUGAGACUGCCGCUCCAGCCAAUAGCCGCACUGCAGCCUUCUCAGACAUCUUGAGCCAGAUUAACCCAGUUAAGCUGCUCCUCAAUUCCUGGCCUAUAGGAACCAUAAGGUCAACCUUACUUAUGGAAGGGGAUUGCAUUAUGGAACGAAAACCAGGAGGUGAUCACUGCUAUCUUAGAGGCUGGCUACUGUUGAUGUCAAAAUCAGCAUCUAUGGCACAGAUGUUCCCUGAAGAUGUCUUGCUCCUGGGGAUUCCUGAAUAUACC